UUAGGAAACGAAAACACGAUUGUUAAAAUGCUCGAAGCAUGUUUUCUAGGAAGUGUUUCCUAACUUUUCGUAGGGCUCUAUCUCGACGGCGCCGCCCUCCUCGCCUCACUCUCGCUCCGAUUACGCUGCUGUUUCAAUCCCUACCCAUCUCCCCAUUCGAUCUUUCUCUUUACUUGUUGUUGAUGUAUCUAUUAGUUGAUCGAUUGCUGCUUUCCGAAGUUCUAUUGUCUGUAGCCAUAUGCAACAUGGAUCAUAACAGUAGAACAUUUGCCCCUAUUUGAUGGCCUUUGGUUUGGUUACAUGUUCCAAGGGCUUGUUUUUGCUGAAAAUUAUAGAUCUUUUAUAUAUGAGAUGCUGUGUAUUAUGCUUUUGGACAUGGAAAAGGAAAUUGGUUGGGCAUGAUUUUGUGUUUGGUUGCCCAAUAAACCUAUGAGCUUCAGUUAGAAGAGCUUGGUCUGUCAAAAUCAUAUGCAAGGAAGGCAGAAGAAAACUGUGAUGGUUGGUUAUCAUCUCAUAAUUGUCCUUUAGUUCCUAAAAUUUACAUUCACUGACUCGGGACAAUGGUUAUCCUUUUUAUUUAUGCAAGUCAAAUUUAUAGUUUCAUGUUUGUUUGCAGUCUUCUUUGUGGUAUGCAAUUCGUAGGGAGGAUGCAAUUGUAGUUCUCAGGUAAUUUUCUGUGGAUAUGAACCAAAAGGAACUAAAGGGAGAUUGAACAAUGUUAAUGCAAGAGGUGAUGUAGAAUGGAGUAGAGAAGUAGAGAGAGAGAGAGAGAGGGGAAGAGAAAGAGAAGUGUGAGACUAGAGAGGAGAAUAAAAGGCUAGAAGAGAGAAGAUGCAAUUUUUUUUGUUCAGAUCUGAAGUGUUUCAUCGAUUGACAAGCUCUACUAUUUAUAUGGGUUUGGAGCCUUAGUACAAUCAAUGAAGGCAAUGAUUCCCAAGAGUAAUCUCAUAGAGAACUUAUUUGCCUUUUAGAAACUUAAAACGUGACUUCUAGGAGACCUAAAUAGCUUACUACAGUUGAGAAGAAAAAGAGUGCGCUUAAUACAAAUCUAGAGUCCCAAGGUUAGCACCUAUGAAGGUUCUUUAUUUUUCCACACAACUCUUAGAGUUUUUAGGUUAGGUAAUUGAUGAUUUUUUAUUUUUUUUCUUUGCCUAGAAUAAACUCUUCUAAAAUCCUUUAUAAACUUAGAUGGUUCUCCAUCAAGAGGGUGCCCGGGAAUAAUUUGCUUGAGCCUCACUUUCAUCUGAGCAUAUUGUUCCUCUUAUCUUCCGACACUUGUAUGUUUGAAGAUCUCUAGAAAGCCUGAGCUUAAUCUCCAGCUAAAGUCUGGCUGUGCAAACAAGAUUAGGCUUUUCCGGUGCUUUUUGUUUGUUUUUAUAAUGAUCGCUGAAGAUGAUCCACAUUGAUUUGGGAUUUCCUUAUUGAAUAGUUCAAUGGCGAUUAGUAGCCAAGUGGGAGUUGGGGGGUUUAGGAAGGUCAUCCGGGCCAAUGGAGAUUCUGUAUUGGUUUGUUUCAAUUAAAUGAUUACCCUGAUAAUGCUGCAUUCUUGUGUUCUUUUCAUUCUUUAUGGUGAUGUACUUUGAGCUUGUAUUUUGUAUCAGUUCCCGCAUAAGUGCUUUCUCAAAAGUAAAAUGCAUCAUGUAUACUGUAUCUAGCUUUUUAGUAUUAUUUAAGUAUUGAAUAUUCCUUUUGGUUAAUUAAAGGAAAGAUUGAGCAAAUGUUUGUUUUUGCAGUACAAAGACAAUUAGUUUAUUGAUUGUUGACAUAUUUUGUUCAUAUUAUUCACCUAUUCUUCAUUUUUUUGUUGCUACAUUAUCGUGCACUUAUUUGAAACAUGAAAUAAGAUAACCAUCUCUUUGAAUAAAGGAGUUGUGAACCUCAAAACUAUAUGAUGUGGUGCAAAUUCAGUCACUCUCAAUGUUAUUUCUGGUAAUUUUUUCAUCCUUGAACUAUAUAACCCGAUAAACCAAGGUUUAUUUCACAUAUUGAUAGGAAGUCAAGAUUUUGGUGCAACACCAUUCUAGAACAAGAUCAUAUGAUUAAUUUGUAGACACAUCUAAAGUACAGAGGUCAUAGUUACCUAGAUUUAACCUCAUGCAGAAUAUGCAACACUUAAGCUUAUUAAUUCUUGUGCAUCAUGUCUUUUUAUGGCUGAAAAUGCUUUACAAAAUAAUUUUCUUGUACAUGACUCACCUGAAAUUUGGAAUCUGUACUAACGUUAUAUUGCUGAAAUGAUCCACCUCACAUUUUUCAUGACUGAAAGGUUUCGAACCACUUUUGGCUAUGCAGAGUUUGAAAUUGUCUGAGCAUAUAAAUGAAGAAAGAGAAGCAGCAAAACGGGUGAAUCAACCAUAACACUUGGAAAAAUGCUUGUCUACAUGCUUGAUUAAUUUGUUCUUGGGUUUCUUCGGUGGGGUAUACUUAGAAAAAGAGAUAUUUCUCGUGUGUAUGUGCACAGUGAAAAUUUAGGAAAGAAAACUGAUAAAGAAGUACAACAAACUUGUACCUUGGCGUUUGCCCGAAAAUCUUGCAGUUUUCUUAAUCGCCUGCUUCAUUCUUCUCAAGUUCAUCACUUGCUGGAAAGCUCGAAUCAUGCUUUGAAAAGAGGUGGAGACAAAAACACGACUAGAAAAUGUCACUGUAUGCCCCAUCAGAGAUCUAGCAAUAGUGCACAAGAACAAGGAUUUGUGGUUUUGCUCCAAAACAAAUGUCUCUGUUUAUUUCCCUGUCAACUGAAGAACAAAUGAAUUCUCCUCCUGUCAA